rnacentral:tRNA from 1 species
GUAGCUAUAGUUUNAUAAAAACAUUAGAUUGUGAAUGUGAUAAUAGAAGUUACCAANUUCUUAUUUACC